GACGAACGCUGGCGGCGUGCCUAAUACAUGCAAGUCGAGCGGACGGAUGGGAGCUUGCUCCCAGACCGUCAGCGGCGGACGGGUGAGUAACACGUGGGCAACCUGCCUGUAAGACUGGGAUAACUCCGGGAAACCGGGGCUAAUACCGGAUAACUCUUUCCCUCACAUGAGGGAAAGCUGAAAGAUGGCAUCUCGCUAUCACUUACAGAUGGGCCCGCGGCGCAUUAGCUAGUUGGGGAGGUAACGGCUCACCAAGGCGACGAUGCGUAGCCGACCUGAGAGGGUGAUCGGCCACACUGGGACUGAGACACGGCCCAGACUCCUACGGGAGGCAGCAGUAGGGAAUCUUCCGCAAUGGACGAAAGUCUGACGGAGCAACGCCGCGUGAGUGAUGAAGGUGUUCGGAUCGUAAAACUCUGUUGUCAGGGAAGAACAAGUACCGGAGUAACUGCCGGUACCUUGACGGUACCUGACCAGAAAGCCACGGCUAACUACGUG
rnacentral:rRNA from 1 species